rnacentral:tRNA from 1 species
AUAGACACUGCUAACGCCAGAAAUAACUGGCACCCUUACUUUUAAAGGAAAAGAGCAA